GGGGUUCGCCGGAUGGCCGCGCUGCUUCCCGGGCCGGGUUUCCGGAUGCCGAGAAGUGUGAGGAAAGUCCGGACACCAUGGAACCGCGGGACCGGGUAAUUCCCGGAGUUCUACUCCGUUUCAGCGGAGUAGGGCAUGGAAAGUGCAGCAGAAAGUAUACCGCCUUGGAGGAAUUCCGAGGUAAGGGUGAAACGGCGGGGUAAGAGCCCACCGCCAUUCCUCGUAAGGGGAUGGGCAGGCAAACCCUCCCAGGUGCAAUCCCGAAUAGGCGAUCGUUAGUUGCGGGUUCCGCAAGAUCGUGGGUAGGGAGCAAAGAGUCCGAUCGGCAACCGUCGGGCCAAGAUAAAUGGUCAUCGCCGGAGGAUUUCGAAAGGAAUUCUUCGGUACAGAAUCCGGCUUAUAGGCGAACCCCUAUU
rnacentral:RNase_P_RNA from 1 species